GCCUGGAUAGCUCAGUUGGUUAGAGUGUGGGGUUGAGGACAGUAAGGUUGCAGGUUCAAUCCCUGUAUGGGGCA